rnacentral:rRNA from 1 species
AAUGAACGUUGGCGGCGUGGAUUAGGCAUGCAAGUCGAGCGCGAACCCCGCAAGGGGUGAAAGCGGCGAAAGGGAGAGUAACGCGUGGGUAUCUGCCCUCGGGACUGGGAUAGCUGCGGGAAGCUGCAGGUAAUACCAGAUGACGUCCCCGGACCAAAGGUGUGAUUCCGCCUGAGGAUGAGCCCGCGUCCUAUUAGCUAGUUGGUAGGGUAAUGGCCUACCAAGGCAAUGAUGGGUACUGGGUGUGAGAGCACGACCCAGCUCACUGGGACUGAGACACUGCCCAGACACCUACGGGUGGCUGCAGUCGAGAAUCUUCGGCAAUGGGCGAAAGCCUGACCGAGCGACGCCGCGUGUGGGAUGAAGGCCUUCGGGUUGUAAACCGCUGUCAGAGGGGAGGAAUGGGCGGAGGGUAAUCUCUUCGUUUUGACCUAUCCUCAGAGGAAGUACGGGCUAAGUUCGUGCCAGCAGCCGCCGUAACAC